UGGGGAAUUUUGGACAAUGGGCGAAAGCCUGAUCCAGCAAUGCCGCGUGUGUGAAGAAGGCCUUCGGGUUGUAAAGCACUUUUGUCCGGAAAGAAAUCUGUCUGGCUAAUACCCGGACGGGAUGACGGUACCGGAAGAAUAAGCACCGGCUAACUACGUGCCAGCAGCCGCGGUAAUACGUAGGGUGCGAGCGUUAAUCGGAAUUACUGGGCGUAAAGCGUGCGCAGGCGGCGAUGCAAGACAGGUGUGAAAUCCCCGGGCUUAACCUGGGAACUGCACUUGUGACUGCAUUGCUAGAGUGUGUCAGAGGGAGGUGGAAUUCCGCGUGUAGCAGUGAAAUGCGUAGAGAUGCGGAGGAACACCGAUGGCGAAGGCAGCCUCCUGGGAUAACACUGACGCUCAGGCACGAAAGCGUGGGGAGCAAACAGGAU
rnacentral:rRNA from 1 species